rnacentral:lncRNA from 1 species
UUCCAAUUAAGUCAUGAAAUAAUUCAUUUUAUUGUUUCCAAACACAAAAAAGGAACAAAUCAGGAAAAAGCACGUUCAAUUUUUUUAUAUUCUACGUCCCCGUGAGUUAAGAACUGAAAUUUUUAUGGUCCCUGAUUAAUUUUUGUAAUUCUGAAGUUGGAGAAGGUUUCUAUGGGUUUUAUGAGGAAGAAAUUAAAGAUGUUGAUACCAUUUUUAUAUGAGCUAUGAGCACUUGUUGAAUUAUGAAAAAGUGAUCUUAACUAUCCAAACACGAAUUCUUAAACAUCAUGUUUUUCUUCAACUCAACAAAUCCGUUAGAAGGUUGUGUCAAAUUUAAAGGGAAUCCCUGAUGUUCAUAUUAAAGAGUCCAUCCUCUGUACUCUGAUGUUAAAUACAAUGGCUUCUGUAAUUUUCAAAUUUCAAAUAGACAUGCUUGCACUUUGUAUGCGGU